rnacentral:tRNA from 1 species
GCCUCCAUAGCACAGUGGUAGUGCGUGUCACUCGUACGUAGAAAGAGAGGACCCCCUCCUCCUCCAGUACAUCCUCCUCUGCUGCUCGUCUAGGGUGACAGCUAGGACUGGUGAUGACAAGGUCGGGUGUUCGAUCCACCCUGGAGGCA